rnacentral:lncRNA from 12 species
CUGCUCCGAUCACAGGGCAGCGACGGCUGAGAGGUGGUAGGUGCUUGGACCUUGCCCCCUUGCCUUCCAACCCCUCCCCCACCCCACCACCACCACCACCAUGGCAGUCCCCGGAAGCACUGUCUUGAACACCGGGGACUGAAACCAAGUAUUCAAAGCGCUUUGAAGCCACUGGAAAGGAAGGUGGAGCCCCUGCGGGAAAGCACUGUUUGCUAGCAGGCAGCGCCACCAUGCGGUCGCCAAAUGUGCACCUGUGUCAGGUGAUGGUAGGAAGGCUGGAGUCAGACCGCUGCAGGUGUAGUGGGCACCCUGCUAGUCCAACGGGAGGCUGUUCCAGUUGAUACCUCAGCCCCCAGCCUUUGGCCUCCCGCUAUGAUUGUGCUUCUCCUCCUGAGUAUGCUGACGGCCUCGCGUGGCGGGGCCCACCCUCUGGACACCCCACACCUUCCACGGGAGCUGCCUCCAGGACUCUCAAAAAAUAUCAAUAUCACAGCCUUCCACGGGGUGUUUAAAAAUGUGGAAAAUGUGGCUGACAUUUUUGACUGCCUGGGCUCCCACUUCACCUGGCUGCAGGCUGUCUUCACCAAUUUCCCCGCGCUGCUCCAGUUCGUGAGUGGCAUGAAGUGUGUGGCUGGUCUCUGCCCCCGGGACUUCGAAGACUAUGGCUGUGCGUGCAGGUUCGAGAUGGAGGGGGCCCCCGUGGAUGAGGCUGACAGCUGCUGCUUCCAGCACCGAAGAUGCUACGAGGAGGCCGCUGAGAAGGACUGUCCCCAAGACCCAGCCAAGCUCAGCAUAGAUGUCAACUGUGUCAGCAAGAGCAUCACGUGUGAGUCCGGGGACCCUUGUGAGCACCUGCUGUGUACCUGCAACAAGGCUGCCAUAGAAUGCUUGGCUCGGUCCAGUAUCAACUCUUCCCUGAACCAUCUGGACACUUCAUUCUGUCUGGCUCAGCCUCCAGAGACAGCUAGCACGGAAGAGCUGACAACGCUUCCACCCAGAGAUACCAAGGUGGGACAGGCUGGAGUCAACACUCACUGCAUCUCUCUUCUUUUGUGGGCAGAAGCAGGUCGAGAUGAAAAAGGCACAGAAACCGCGACAUCCCCUCCAGGAUCCGUAGACAUCGUUGUCUCGACAAAAGGAGUAACCUUGGCCCCCGCCGGCUUGAAGUCUUUGGGCUUAGCUGCAUCAUCUAACAAAAGUGGCCUAGAGGAGACAACGGGAAAAGCCUGUGACAGGUUCACCUUCCUGCAUCCAGGAGGUGCGGAUGACACACAGGUGAUGCCUCAGUUUGCAGAGAUGCUCUUUUGUCUGACAUCCCGAUGCCCAGAAGAAUUUGAAUCUUAUGGCUGUUACUGUGGGCAAGAAGGACAAGGCGAGCCGAGGGAUGCCCUGGACAGGUGCUGUUUCUCCCACCACUGCUGCGUGGAGCAGGUGACAAGGCUGGGCUGCCUGUCCGAGAGGCUUCCUGGGUCACUGGUGGAGUGCGUGGACGGUACAGCCAAGUGUAAGUGUGUGGGGCGGAGCCUGUGUGCGCAGCUGCUGUGUGCCUGUGACCAGACGGCGGCCGAGUGCAUGGCCUCUGCCGCCUUUAACCUGAGCCUCGGGUCAGCCGGCAAACGAGCGUGCCAGGGCCGCCGGCCGUCGUGCGGGGAGCACCUGCACGGAGCGCCCACCGCCGCCUCCCCCGGCUCCAGCUCCGAGGAGAACAGCGAGGAGGCCGUGCCCGACCCAGAGGGCCGGAGGAGGACCAGGAGAUUCCUGGGCAAGUGGCUUGGUGCUGUGGGGACCAGGCGACCGCAUGGCCCCAGAUAG